UUAGCUCAGUUGGUAGAGCGCUCCACUCGAAAUGGAGAGGUCCCUGGUUCAAUCAACCCCAAGA
rnacentral:tRNA from 1 species